rnacentral:rRNA from 1 species
UACGGGAGGCAGCAGUGGGGAAUAUUGCACAAUGGGCGAAAGCCUGAUGCAGCUAUGCCGCGUGUAUGAAGAAGGCCUUAGGGUUGUAAAGUACUUUCAUCGGGGAGGAAAAACAAAACUAAUAAUUUUAUUUCUUGACGUUACCCGAAAAAGAAGCACCGGCUAACUCCGUGCCAGCAGCCGCGGUAAUACGGAGGGUGCUAGCGUUAAUCAGAAUUACUGGGCGUAAAGAGCACGUAGGUUGGUUUUUUAAGUCAGAUGUGAAUCCCUGGGCUUAACCUAGGAACUGCAUUUUGAAACUGAAAUACUAGAGUAUCGUAGAGGGAGGUAGAAUUCUAGGUGUAGCGGUGAAAUGCGUAGAUAUCUGGAGGAAUACCUGUGGCGAAAGCGGCCUCCUAAACGAAUACUGACACUGAGGUGCGAAAGCGUGGGGAGCAAACAGGGAUUAGAUACC